UACGUAGGGUGCGAGCGUUAAUCGGAAUUACUGGGCGUAAAGCGUGCGCAGGCGGUUCGUUAUGUCCGAUGUGAAAGCCCCGAGCUUAACUUGGGAAUGGCAUUGGAAACUGGCGGGCUGGAGUGCGGCAGAGGGGGGUGGAAUUCCACGUGUAGCAGUGAAAUGCGUAGAGAUCGGGAGGAACAUCCGUGGCGAAGGCGGCCAUCUGGAUCAACACUGACGCUGAGGCACGAAAGCGUGGGGAGCAAACAGG
rnacentral:rRNA from 1 species